UUUUAUCUCAGGUGAAUUGUAAUCAUGUGAUCAAAACGAGCACCCCUCUUCCCCCUUAAAUGAAAAAAAAGAAGAAGUGGGGAACAAAAAGCAGUUUUGUGCAUGUGGGGGGAAAAAAAGAAAAGGAGAGAAGGGAAUAGCUUGCGUCUUUCCCGUCUUCCUCCACUCUUUGUGUCCGUCUCAACAAACUGACCUACCGACAGAAAUGCUCCCGGAGCGGGGACUCGGGCCCCGGGGAGCCGUGUGGGGGAAGUCCGGCUCCUGGAGCUUUAACCCGGGGAUCUUCACACAUUUUGCUCCCCCUGCGCAGCGGAGGAUUUGAGGCCUCGAUUUGACGGCACUGCAGCAGAGGCUCCCGUCUUCCUACCACUGUCUUCUGUCUCUGCGUGGCGGCCGUUUGCAGUCCAAUGUUGAGGGAACUGUGGCCGUUGUGGAGUCCGGAGCUGGAGAUCUUCUGGCGUGCCUCCUCUGGUGCCUGAAGCUCGUCAGGACGGUGUAGGGCGGCUUUGGCCUUUCUGAGGAUGUGCUCGCUGUAAAUAUCCCUGAGCCGGUCCUGACUCACCCCGACAAGAUCACCAAAACGGCAAGCCGAUUCUUACCGGCUGUGUUAAGAGAUUGUUACAAAAGAAAACCAACAGUACUGUAAAGCAUCUGUUGUAAUGUCCUUUGAUGCACACAUUAAAUUGAUUAACAUACAUAUAUAUAUAUAUAUAUAUAUAUAUAUAUAUAUAUCAAAGCCAGUCAGCCUAUGAUUCACCCUCUAUUAAGAAUUGCUACUUUCAGAUCCUUUUUAUUAUUAUUAUUAGUUUGUCAUUUGGUUUACAUUUUUAAACUGACUUCAUCAAACUAGGUGACAAAUUAACGGUAACACAGGGAUGCUUAACAUCAGGAGCAGAUUUAGGCAUCUAUAAAAACUCCAAAAGUCAACUUAAUAAGAUUAAGAAUUUUAAAAGUACAAUUGGCAGCUGAGGAUCGAAUCGGUCACCUGUUGAACCUACUUGUUCCCAUGGCACCAUGUCCUGCUCCCAAAGGUCAGGUCACCGCUAAGGAGGUAGUGCUGGUACCACUGAGAAGACCACUGCAGGAAAGAGAAAGAGAGAAACAGAACCAUGUGAAAUCUCCACUAUCUAAAUAAAUGGGGGUCAAGCUCGUGAAAAUACAGAGAGCUUUCGAUUAAGGAAGGCACACUUUUACAACUGCAAAAUAUUCCCUCCUUAACUUUGAAAACCCAAAUGUACACGGUUUCAUUGCAUUGCAUCUAGUUAUAUGAUGUGCGUCUGUGUCUCCAGUCUAGUCGUGAGCUGAAGAUGUGCAUGAUUAGACUCUGCUGAUUGUUCUGAGGAACAGCGGCCGUACUCGUGAGAACCGAGGGGGAACGUUGUAUGUGGGUGUAAGUAGCGGUUUCAUGUACAUGAUGGAGACAUCUGGUAUUUGUAAUUACAGACAAACCAAAGUGUUUGCUUGUGUUACACCAAAAGAAACCGUAAAUAUUAAACAUGAGCCCGGCGUAAAUGUUUUUUUACACAAACUGUCUGUCCAGAAAACACAAAGAAAAUCCUGUCACAUAAACUUUCCCUUAUAGCAAACAGUGAAUCCAAGGCAAAGCCUGCAGUGGAAGCUGUUUGUUUUUUCUUCAUGUACUUAAGGCAUUUUUAAGGGAAUGAACAAGCUCGACGUGAAAUUACUGAACACCAGGAGGCGAUGUCAUUUGUUUUUGGCUCUGUUGUCCCAAGCUACGCAGCUGUAAGAAUAAUAUCUCCAACCUCCGAGCUGAUAAAGGAAAAUACAACCAGCUACAACAUCAGUGUUGUCUCCAUCUCGGUGGAAAUAUUUUAUAACCUGUAAUGAUGGCGGUAGACACAAUACCAAACAGUUAAUGGUCACCAUGCAGGUAAUACUGGGACCUUCAGUGAAGCUGGUUUCCAUGGGAACACAUCUCCUGUGGCAUUUGGGGGACAGAGAGCAGUGGAGAGAGACACCAGAGACAUUAUGGUGAAAAGGGGGCGAGAAUACAGUGUUAAGUGCUCUUAUAACAUGUAUCACAGAGGGAGGCAGCGAGGGGAUGAGAGAAUGUGCAGCAAUGCAAAAUCUACAUUAAACCUUAAAUAGAUUCUGAAUGAGGGACAAGAGGUGACUCUUCCCUUUGAUCCAUAUUACUGAGGGACAAUGCAGAUAAGGCUGAAAGACAUCUGUGAAGACUUGGGUCAAGAAAGCAUUCUCCAAAAGCUUUGAUGUUUUUCUCUAUCCUAUUUAUCUAUUUAUGAUUUGACCCAGGACACCGAGGGAACGACGAGUUCACUAAAUACAGAAAGCUCUGAAUAAUAUUUUACACAGUGGACGUCUCUGUAAGCAUUACCUUUGGUUGUAUAUCUAGUUUGGAUUUGAGAUUUUUGAGCAUCUUGUCUCGGGGGUUGUGUUAUAUUAGAGCAAUAUCAAUUAAUAGAAGGAUAAAGUAAAUUGAGAUGUAGCAAAUAUACAAGGUUGUAUCCUGAAGUGAUUGAGUGGCUCGAGAAGAAAAAAGUGUAAUUCAAAUUUUGACUGUUGCUCAAACAAAUAAAAUUGUAUUAACUAUAUUUACUUUUCAUUAAAAAAUGUAUUGCCAGUUGCAGCCUUAACUGUGUACGUACUUAUGUCCUGCCUUUGAAACAUUACAGUAGAUUCAUUAGUGUUGAACUAACACUAAUACACUUGUGGAAUUAUUUCACUGUGUCCAUGUGUGACUCACUCCUCUCUAAUCUCAUACAUUUGCAGAUGCGGACUUAUAAUCGGCCUCCUUGGAAUAACAAAGGUGGGAAUUUCAUGGCUGUUAAUCCCAAAAGAAUUGAGGGAAUAGAGAAAUUCAGAUGCAUUGUCAACUUCUCCUAAAACCUCUUGUAAUCUCCCAUCAUUAGACACACUAUUACAUCUGCCACAAUAAUAAAUUCUACUCUCUAAGUGGAAAUACUUGAACAUUAAUGUCUGGAAGAUAUGGCAGCUGAGGUGGAGUAUUUAUGCAUACUGGUCAUUCCUGUGCUGUUACAAGCUGGUCGUAAGUGGUCACAGAAAAGAGCAAUUAAGCCUCACUGUCUGUGAAAGGUUUGCGUAUCAAUUACCUGGUGCCUUCAAAGGCAAAUUAUGUAACCUCGACAGGAUUUAUUUUCUGGAUCUGAUUGUCAAGCCGAUGAACUACUGGCAGAAUAGUCUUGUUAUAUAAAUUCUGUCUAUCAAUGGAAGCACAUUUUUGCAAAACAUCAGUGAUAUAAUUCACCCAAGUGAAGGACCUGCUGAGUCCGUCUCUAAAGUGACUCAGGCCUUUGUGUUGGGAUGCUGGGACUGUGUGUUCCUCUGACCAGCUCCACUGUUCUCUCCCCUCGUUUUCUUUUGUAGAACUGCUUUGUAUGAUUUUUUUGUAUAACACUGAGCGAUACAAAACCCUGGUUCCACCUCUGCCUGUCACGAGCCAACCCACAGAGAAGAAUGAUUCCCACGCUACCGUCGCAUCCCCGACAGCCUCCGCGUUGGCCUCAUUUCACAUUUCUCGUUUUCCCAUGUUGUCCAUUUUUAAUCUUUGCUAAACAUAUUGUAUUUCCCUGUUCAUGUAAUUGAUUGACUGAAAUAAUUGAUUGACUGAAAGGGAACAUUUAUGACACGUCAGCAAAGUAAAGCAAAGUAACAUCCAUUUACUUUAAAGGUGAAAGUCUUUCUUUCUCAGGAGGGUCGCCUGUGUCUCCAUCUGAGCUUCAGCCUGGAUGCUCGCCCACUGGACACACGGACAGAGAAGGUCUCAGUGGAAGUGUUUGUUUAAGUCCUGGUCAAUGCUCACCGGGUUGUCUGGAUCAAGAUAUUAGGUUAGAGCCAGGUGAUCAUGCAAAGUAGAUUAAUUACAUUCACAUUAAUUCACAUUACAUCCACCUCACUUCAUACCUUGUUUCCUGUAACGGGACGUAUGUAAUGGGACGUUGCACUUUUUUAAAGCAGAUGAAAGAUUUUAUUAAGGAGGUUUUAUUUUGGAUAUUUCUUUCUUUUUGUAUGGAUUCAAGUCACAAGCUGAUUAUUUAUACAUCUAUUUAUCUGUUGGAGAGUAGAGAUGUAUUUUAAAUUUAACAAAAAUAAUAGUAAACUACACAAUUGCCCAAAAGCUGGAAACCAACAGGACUUCAUAUGACAUAAAAAGAGACAUUUAAAAAUAAAUGUUUCCAGUCGAUCAACAGGUGCAGCCUUAUUCCCAGUGCCUGAGCGACAGUCUGGGUGACACAGUGCUUUUACAUAAUGUCUAACACAGAAACUACAACUGUAACGGCUCUAAAUGUCUGUCAUCUGGAGUGCAAAGUGACAAAUAAAAAACAUGAUCUAA